CCUACGGGAGGCAGCAGUGGGGAAUAUUGGACAAUGGGCGAAAGCCUGAUCCAGCAAUGCCGCGUGAGUGAAGAAGGCCUUAGGGUUGUAAAGCUCUUUUACCCGGGAAGAUAAUGACUGUACCGGGAGAAUAAGCCCCGGCUAACUCCGUGCCAGCAGCCGCGGUAAUACGGAGGGGGCUAGCGUUGUUCGGAAUUACUGGGCGUAAAGCGUCCGUAGGCGGCUUUCCAAGUCAGAGGUGAAAUCCCACGACUCAAUCGUGGAACUGCCUUUGAGACUGGUUCGCUUGAAGAUGGGAGAGGUUAGUGGAAUUCCGAGUGUAGAGGUGAAAUUCGUAGAUAUUCGGAAGAACACCAGUGGCGAAGGCGGCUAACUGGACCAUUCUUGACGCUGAGGGACGAAAGCGUGGGGAGCAAACAGGAUUAGAUACCCUGGUAGUCCACGCCGUAAACGAUGAGAACUAGCUGUCGGGGCUCUUAGAGCUUCGGUGGCGCAGCUAACGCAUUAAGUUCUCCGCCUGGGGAGUACGGCCGCAAGGUUAAAACUUAAAGGAAAUUGACGG
rnacentral:rRNA from 1 species